rnacentral:piRNA from 1 species
UAAGUAUGUUGUUAAACGUGAAGGCAUC